AACCAGUACCGUGAGGGAAAGGUGAAAAGCACCCCGGAAGGGGAGUGAAAUAGAACCUGAAACCGUGUGCCUACAACAAGUCAAAGCCCGUUAAUGGGUGAUGGCGUGCCUUUUGUAGAAUGAACCGGCGAGUUACGAUUGCAUGCGAGGUUAAGUUGAAGAGACGGAGCCGCAGCGAAAGCGAGUCUGAAUAGGGCGUUUGAGUAUGUAGUCGUAGACCCGAAACCAUGUGAUCUACCCAUGUCCAGGUUGAAGGUGCGGUAAAACGCACUGGAGGACCGAACCCACGUACGUUGAAAAGUGCGGGGAUGAGGUGUGGGUAGCGGAGAAAUUCCAAACGAACUUGGAGAUAGCUGGUUCUCUCCGAAAUAGCUUUAGGGCUAGCCUCG
rnacentral:rRNA from 1 species